UAAAACAACAAACUUCCUCAUUGUACACUAUACGGUGUAUAACAAUUGUAGAUGAAUUGAACAUCUACAAUGUAGGGAAAAACUAUACUGUUAUGUUAACUGUGUUCCAAUAUCAAAAAUAUCUUAGGAUCACUACGGCCUCUCAUGAAGCUUAUUGACGAUGCCGAGCCUGAAGACAGUCCGGAGCAGUGGUGGCGAGCCGAUGGUGUGCAUGCCACAGCGGGCUCUUUGUACCAUCGCAAACCCUGGAAGGUUCGCCAUCCCUGGUCUAGAGACUGUUCCAGGAAGCUCUGUUCCAGGAGGAGAUUCAGUGACCAAGGCUGCUUCCAUCUUCCUGUGCAAUAGGGAACAUUUGAUUUGGAGGGACCCCUGGGCCUCUUGUGUGCUAAGCAAAUACUCUACCACUGAACUAUUCCCCGGGUUAUAAUUUUCAAGUGAGUCUGACUGAACUGCUUAUGAGAUGUCUCUACAGCAGAAAACCAUGCAGUCCUUAAAAGGGGACAACGUGAACCUCUACACACUGACAGGAGCAGAGAUCCUUGACGUACGAAUAGAAAGUAAGAGAUGUACAUCACGAUGGACAGUGGGAUAAUGUUGAGAGAAAUUUAUGUGAUAGAUAAUAAAAUCCAAUGAAAGUAUGACACAAUCCUGAUCACUGUUUAUCAUAAUCAUUGUCUGUCUCUGAAAAGUAGAUGGAGGGG
rnacentral:lncRNA from 1 species